UACAGAGGGGGCAAGCGUUGUUCGGAAUUACUGGGCGUAAAGGGCGCGUAGGCGGCCUGUUAAGUCGAACGUGAAAUCCCCGGGCUCAACCCGGGAACUGCGUCCGAUACUGGCAGGCUUGAAUCCGGGAGAGGGAUGCGGAAUUCCAGGUGUAGCGGUGAAAUGCGUAGAUAUCUGGAGGAACACCGGUGGCGAAGGCGGCAUCCUGGACCGGUAUUGACGCUGAGGCGCGAA
rnacentral:rRNA from 1 species